AUGAGAUUUUAGGUUUUGAAAUAAUAUUGAGUAGUGCCCUCUCUCUUCUCAGCAAUUGAAGUAAAUUUGCAUGUCUUAAUUUUUUUUGUUUAUCGGAAUUCAUAAAUGACAGGGUUUUUUCUUCCGCACGGCCACCUACUUCAUCUGAUUGCCAACUUGAUAAAUCUACCCAGUCAUUGCGAGAGUUACAUCGUCUUGUGAUUGAGUGACGGAUUUGCCUUGCCCUUGGACGACCUUGCUUUGCAGUUAAUUCACUCGGCGGAAUGGUUGUAGCUUCCAUUUCACUUGGCGGUAUGGUUUUAGCUUCCAUUUCACUCGGCGGAAUGGUUGAUAACAAUACCACCGGAUUGUAAAUUGGCUGAUCCUGAUUGUCCAUGCCUGAAUUGUCUAAGCAAUCGACAUUCUUUAAUUCAUCUUCCGAAAAGUUUAUUGGCAUACUACUGGACGUGCUCUUGGCGAAAGAGCUGUUUCAUGCUUCGGCGAUGGUAGAAGCCGACGGAUUGGUAACAGGAGGAUUCUGUCGUUGGCUGCAUUCAUAUUUGGAGUGAACGUUGCUGCUUGCUGAAUAUGUGGAAGAAGACGGCGUUUGUUUGAGUUAUUCAUCUCGGGAUCUUCAUCUGCAAGAAAGAAAAUAUGAUACGAAAUGGGACCAAAAUGGUUGUUAUGAACGGGAAUGUUGCAAGGAAAAAUCAGGAGUAAAGGAAGUCAGAGAAAAUUUCAAUUUACUGCCCAAGGGAAUGCAAUUCUCGUACAGAAUUAAAAGUCCUAGGAAAGUCGUUUGUCGCCAGAUUGUAGCCUUACCGAAGCGUUGCUGGACACAGACAUUAGAAUUCGUCCAAUUUUUACCCAUGUCAAUUGUGAUUGAUAGAUGAAGAAGUCACGGGUUUUAUUCGAUCUACUUUCCCGUACAGCGAUCGGUUCCGAAGGAGAUAAAAAACAUCUCAUCAAUCGAAGAACGUCCCGGUGAUCGUAUAUAGCUUUACAGUGUUCAGAAUGUCUGUUACGUUUAUUAACAUUUUGUUUUUUAUUUUUCAAUGUAACAAUUUUUAAUGAGAACAAUAC